rnacentral:rRNA from 1 species
AGUUUGAUCAUGGCUCAGGAUGAACGCUGGCGGCAGGCUUAACACAUGCAAGUCGAGCGCAUCCUUCGGGGUGAGCGGCGGACGGGUUAGUAACGCGUGGGAACGUGCCCUCUUCUACGGAACAGCCUCGGGAAACUGAGAUUAAUACCGUAUACGCCCGAAAGGGGAAAGAUUUAUCGGAGGAGGAUCGGCCCGCGUUGGAUUAGGUAGUUGGUGGGGUAAUGGCCUACCAAGCCGACGAUCCAUAGCUGGUUUGAGAGGAUGAUCAGCAACACUGGGACUGAGACACGGCCCAGACUCCUACGGGAGGCAGCAGUGGGGAAUCUUGGACAAUGGGGGAAACCCUGAUCCAGCCAUGCCGCGUGGACGAUGAAGGCCUUAGGGUUGUAAAGUCCUUUCGCCAGGGAAGAUAAUGACGGUACCUGGUAAAGAAGCCCCGGCUAACUCCGUGCCAGCAGCCGCGGUAAUACGGAGGGGGCUAGCGUUGUUCGGAAUUACUGGGCGUAAAGCGCACGUAGGCGGAUCAGUCAGUCAGGGGUGAAAUCCCGGGGCUCAACCCCGGAACUGCCUUUGAUACUGCUGGUCUGGA